GGGAACCUCUGAUCUAUAGCUGAUGGAUCAGAAGCACAGGUGACAACCUGGAUUUGGGACUGGCAUAUGAAGCGCUGGGGUGAGAAUAGGGAGAGACAAGUGACAUCUUCUUGAACACAAACUCAGAGUCUAUCUUCUGGUGCACAAGAUAUAGGAACUUUGAAAGUGAAAAAAAAAUGACCAUGUCAGUGACUAGACCAUGGAUUUUGAGAGGCCUUAGGAUCUCAGCCCAGGACUGUGGGGAAAAGAAACCUAAAAGGAAUGCAUGCAGCAAACCAGAUUAAGGACAUGGCUGAUGGUCAGAGCUGGAAGUUCCGUUACUGAGACAAGGUGGAAGCCAGGAGGCAGAAACCCAAAAGAAACCAGAGCCAAAAGUGACAGUUCGCGAAGCUCAAGGCCAAAGCACAAGACAGGAAUCAGAGGAGCAAUGAACGCUGAGCAAGAAUGUCCAGUGUCAGCAUUCAGAAAAUGCCCUCAUGACAGCUCUUGGAGCAACAGUGCUUCCUUACCUUUGGAAAGCAGCCACCACGGCUGGGCUUUGGGAGUGUGACUAAUGUUGGAGUCAGCAGUUUUACACUCUGAGGAGACAGAAUAGAGACAAGCUCUUCAUACCUAAGAUGUUUCUGGAGUCAUAAAACUCAAAACAGUGUCAUUGAGGCAGGGCCUGGACUAGGGUGGGUGAAUGAGGUGCCUAGGAUGCCAGACACAAAGAGGCAUUUACUCUUAGGGUCAUAAAGAUACGGGUCGCUCAGGCUCAGAGAAGGGAAGGGCGCCUCCCCAUCC
rnacentral:lncRNA from 1 species